CAUUACAGAUUGUAUGAAUAAAUUAGAAAAUAGAGAAAUAAGAAGUUCAGAACAACAGUCCUUCCAACCCAGUCCUCGCUGGUUCCUAAGUCUCCAGUCAGCACUGGGCCUCGACUCCUGACCACAUUGGGCUUCACCUUGGGAGACCACUCUGGAUUCACCUUGGAAGUCCUCACAGAGCCAAGAGACCGCCACUCUGGCUGUGUGCUGAGGCUGAGAGUCCGUAUCCAUGUUGAGGCCGGGAGUCACCAAAAAGAGGGAAAAACAAAGAAGAGGAAGAUGAAAUCAAUGAGCUCCAGCUGAAGUGUCCUACUCUGCCGCCAUCUUGGAGGUCAACCUUGCUGUGUUUUUGGCUGUUUCUCUUUCUGGGACAAGACUCCCCCCUCCACCACUCUUACCACAGAACACAUCCAAGUCUUGAAAACUGCAGAGGUUACAGGCACUGAACAAAUUGUCACGGAAAAAUAGGCAGUAAUGCUGACAGGAAGAAAAUGCAAGGAACAACAUGAACCUGCUACAUACCAAACCCGAAACCAGGCCUGAGCAGAACCGGUACAGGAGUAAACUCUACUAAUCUCUAUAAGGCAGCAUGUAACUACAAGUGCUACAUCUUGUAAAAGUUAUCUUGAAUCCACUCAAGUACGCCUCAAAGAUUACCAUCUUCACAUUCACUUUGCAUGGGGUUUUCAACAGACUCACUCAACACAUUGCCACCUGCGAGAUGCCCAGUCUCAAA